UUCUGGUCUCAGGUAUUAAAGGACCUGCUGGUUCUGGUCUCAGGUAUUAAAGGACCUGCUGAUUCUGGUCUCAGGUAUUAAAGGACCUGCUGGUUCUGGUCUCAGGUAUUAAAGGAUCAGCUGGUUCUGGUCUCAGGUAUUAAAGGACCUGAUGAUUCUGGUCUCAGGUAUUAAAGGACCUGCUGGUUCUGGUCUCAGGUAUUAAAGGACCUGCUGGUUCUGGUCUCAGGUAUUAAAGGACCUGAUGAUUCUGGUCUCAGGUAUUAAAGGACCUGCUGGUUCUGGUCUCAGGUAUUAAAGGACCUGCUGGUUCUGGUCUCAGGUAUUAAAGGACCUGCUGAUUCUGGU